rnacentral:rRNA from 1 species
CCUACGGGUGGCUGCAGUCGAGAAUCAUUCACAAUGGGGGAAACCCUGAUGGUGCGACGCCGCGUGGGGGAAUGAAGGUCUUCGGAUUGUAAACCCCUGUCAUGUGGGAGCAAAUUAAAAAGAUAGUACCACAAGAGGAAGAGACGGCUAACUCUGUGCCAGCAGCCGCGGUAAUACAGAGGUCUCAAGCGUUGUUCGGAAUCACUGGGCGUAAAGCGUGCGUAGGCUGUUUCGUAAGUCGUGUGUGAAAGGCGCGGGCUCAACCCGCGGACGGCACAUGAUACUGCGGGACUAGAGUAAAGGAGGGGGAACCGGAAUUCUCGGUGUAGCAGUGAAAUGCGUAGAUAUCGAGAGGAACACUCGUGGCGAAGGCGGGUGUCUGGACAUUAACUGACGCUGAGGCACGAAGGCCAGGGGAGCGAAAGGGAUUAGAUACCCGUGUAGUC